UUAGUAUUCUCAUUUUUUAAAUCUAUCAUAUCUCAUUUUCUCACUCUCAACUCUCUUUCUCUCAGCCGCACCCUUUCUCUUCUCAACUCUCUGUCUCCCUCACAUCUAUCUAACCUAUCAGCAAUCUCUCUAAGUCUCGUUUUUCUCUUGUAGGUGGCUGGCGCGGGAGGCUCGACGGAGAUGGCGAUGGGGCUCGACAGCAUAGGGUCUGGGAUCGUUGGUGGAGAGCGAAACAGAGGAGAGAGAUAGACAAAUGAAGAGAAUGGGAAUUUUUGUUGUGUACAGAAAUAUUCCCAGAAUUUUACUGUACUCUUGUACAUUUUCAGUUAUGAAGAACAAAAGCAAUAGCUCACCUCACUACACCGACCAGGUCUUCUCAGCGGCAGCUCACCUCAAUAGUCACGACACCAGGUCCGAAGGACUCCUCACAGCUUCACAAAAACCAGACAGCAAUAGGGUAGUUGGUAUUCUAUUUAUUUUGUUGUUGUUAGUCUUACAUUAAUUUUUGAAGAAGAGAACUCUAGAGUAUAUCUAUUUAUUGGGCGUCAAAAUAAUAAAUUAAUUGUUAUAUUAUUUUGAUUCUCUAUGGUCCGUUUGGUAAAAUUUUUGUUUUUAAACACAAAAAUAGAAAUAUUAUUUUAUUUUUGUUUUUUUAUUUUUAAAAAAUAAAAAUAUGUUUAGUAACUAUUUUUGUUUUUAAAAACAAAAAAUAAUAAACGUGUUUGAUAACUUUUAUUUUUAUUUUUUGUUUAACAAUGUAAUGUGUUAAUUUGAAAAAGAGAAGGAAAAAAUGAAAACUGUUUAAAAAAAUUUUGAAAGUGAAAAUUUUCUAUUUUCAAAAUUUAAUAAAUUUUGUUUAAAAUUUAAAAAAAUAAAAAAUAAAAAUAGAGUUACCAAACGCUAUUUUAUGUUUAAUUGUCAAAUUUUUAAUUAAUUAAAUAAAAAACUGUUUUUUUAAUGGUUACCAAACAGCACCUAUACGAGUGGAUUGCUGAUUUAUAGAUUUGGAAAUUUAUAGAUAAAAUAUUGAAGUUGGUAUUCUAUUUAUUUGUUGCUGCUCGUCUUCUAUUUAUUUUUGAAUAAGAGACAUCUAGAAUAUAUCUAUCCUGACUAACUAAUAAGUCACAUGAAGUGUGGUGAUGGGUUGAGUCUCCAAUGUAUGAGUUGUGUGAUAUGGUUAUUUAUUUCUGGUUAUGAUGUAGCUCUCUGUCGUUCCAUCAUUGGGGUUGUCCUCAUUUUGGGAGACGAUUUUUAUAAAAAAAAAAAAGUCACAUGGAGCUAUAGUAUCUUGUGAUUGAAUUAUUAAACUAGAAACUAAAUAAGAUAUUCCCAAGUGCUUAAGUGAUUGAUCAUACAUAGAGAAAUAUGUGGGAAUUGAUUUCUAAAUUCCAUUGCUUAGUUAAUAGAAAUAUAAUGCUUGUUAUUGCACCAUAGAUGAGUUCGGUCAUGGCAUGUAAUGUAUCUAGGAUAUUUUCUGUGCUCUUUUUCAAGAAAGUUGCAUGAAACUCAUUUUUAGCAUACAAUCUGAAUUUUUUUAGUUAUGCUGAAGCUUGAAAACUUGCCAUAUUCUUUUAAUUUUUGAGUGAUUUGUUUGCUCUAACAAGUGUAUUUAAAUUAUAUUAAGAUGCCACAACAAAAAUAUUUCAAAUUUUUUGCAUGAAACUCAUUUUUGGCAUCCAAUCUGAUUUUUUCAAGUUUAUUAUGCUGAAACUUGAAAACUUGCCAUAUUUUUUUAGAUUUUUGAGUUUUGAGUGAUUUGUUUGCUCUAACAAAUGUAUUUAAAUGAUUUUAAGAUGCCAUAAAAGAAAUUUUUUCAAGAAAGUUGCAUGAAACACAUUUUUGAUUUACAAUCUGAUUUUUUUUUAGUUUGAUCAUGCUGAAAGGUGAAAACUUGCCUUAUUUUUUGAAUAUUUUAUUUUUCAGGUAGUUUGUUUGCUCUAACAUGGAGGAUACAUGCUUCUCCAACUCAUGACCAAAGGCGGGUCAUGGUGCAUGAGUGACACUGAAUUGGCAUAAAGCUAUAUUUUCAAACAAUAAUUCUUGUCAAUUUUGUGCUAAAAACUUGCAUUUUUGCUAGUAAGCUACAAAUCACUUUUGCAGGUGCAAUAUUUAAGUAUAUUUAUGCCUUUUAUUUUUACAGGUGAAGUAUUUAAGGAUUUCUUGGUUAACAAUCUCAUAGUUACAUUCUGCAAUACUUAAAAGGAUCAUGGUGCUAUUGGUGAGAAAAGUGUGAUUAAAGUUUCGUAUUUAUGGUGUGAUUGUUGUAGGCAUUUUUUCUUGCUAGGUGUACAAUUUAUGCUCGUGAUUUGUUUUUGUUUUAGUCAAUACAUGAAUCAUAUUGCAUUCUUAUAAGACCAUUGCUUUUAUUAUUUUUUUGUACGUUCUUGUUUGUGAGCUUUCAUUAUAUAUUAUAUGAGCAUUCUUUUAUUAUAUUAUUCAUAUAGUUAAUAUGAAGAGCAUGUGGGUAUGAAAAGCAUUAUUCAUUGGAAUUUGUGUUGUUAUUGAUUUUGAUUGGUUUAUUAUUUUGCUUGAAGAUAGAUUUAUUUUUGUUUUACCAUUUACUAGUUUAGGGUCAUCAUGCCUACUCUAUUAAUUUUGCAUGUAUAUAUAUUUGAUCUAUGAGAGAAAGACGUUUGUUUGACAAACAAUGUAAUUUUUUGAACUUUCAAGUCUAAGAUUGGUACCUCAAGAUAUGUGUGUAUGCAAACAAUGCCAUACCAAGGAAUAUAAUUAUUAAGGUUGUCUCAUGGUCGUAGGUUUUGAGUCAACAUCAACAAUUGAAUUUAUUUCCGAGCUAUGUAUUUUGCUUGAGUUUAGAUCUUUAUGAACUUUAAGUGAUAAGAUUACUUCUUUGUAUAUUGAUCAUGAAUUCUUCUAGCUUCUUAGGUAUGAGAGCUAUCAAUGGCACAACAAAGAACGAUGUUCGAGCCUAUCGGAGUGCCUGUGGUGGUCAUGAAGUUCAUUGUCCUGUUUCUUAUGGUUGGAGUUGGGUAUUUGUACUAUGUUUAUAUAUGUAAAUUUGCAUAGAUAUGAGUGUUCUAUAUUUGUGUUAUAUAUAUAUUGUAUAUUGUAAAAUUAUAUAGAUUUAAGUUUGAUUUUUCACAGAUCUGUAGAUUGUAAAUUUAUUGAUAUAUAUUGGUGAUGUUAAGUGUA